rnacentral:rRNA from 1 species
GCUAAUCAGCUGAGGGUUAGUCGGGACCUAAGGCGUAUCCGAAAGGAGAAGUCGAUGGAAAACAGGUUAAUAUUCCUGUACCAGUUAAUAUUGCGAUGGGGUGACGGAGAAGUGAAAGGUCUGCGCGGCGACGGAAGUCCGCGUUAAAGGGUGUAGACGUUGAUUCAGUAGGUAAAUCCGCUGAUGAGUUGAACCUGAUAGUACUAAGCGUCUUUUAGACAAUUAGAUAUGACCCUAAUCAUGCUCCCAAGAAAAACCUCUAAGCUUCAGAUAUUAACUGCUCGUACCCUAAACCGACACAGGUAGUCAAGAUGAGAAAUCUAAGGUGCUCGAGUGAUUCAUGGCUAAGGAACUAGGCAAAAUGGUCUCGUAACUUCGGGAGAAGAGACGCUCCGCUUGCGGAGCCGCAGUGAAUAGGCCCAGGCGACUGUUUAUCAAAAACA